rnacentral:rRNA from 1 species
GACAGAGGCCCCGAGCGUUAAUCGGAAUCACUGGGCUUAAAGGGUGCGUAGGCGGACCGCUAAGUGUCGCGUGAAAUCCCACUGCUCAACGGUGGAACCGCGCGGCAAACUGACGGUCUUGAGGAAUCUAGAGGCCGGUGGAACGAUUGGUGGAGCGGUGGAAUGCGUAGAUAUCAAUCGGAACGCCCGAGGUGAAGACGGCCGGCUGGGGAUUUCCUGACGCUGAGGCACGAAAGCGUGGGGAGCAAACAGG